rnacentral:rRNA from 1 species
GAUGAACGCUAGCGGCAGGCUUAAUACAUGCAAGUCAAGGGGGUAGCAAUACAACCGGCGCACGGGUGCGUAACGCGUGGGAAUCUGCCCCUCGGUUCGGAAUAACACAGAGAAAUUUGUGCUAAUACCGGAUAAUGACGAAAGUCCAAAGAUUUAUCGCCGAGGGAUGAGCCCGCGUAAGAUUAGCUAGUUGGUGGGGUAAUGGCCUACCAAGGCGACGAUCUUUAGCUGGUCUGAGAGGAUGAUCAGCCACACUGGGACUGAGACACGGCCCAGACUCCUACGGGAGGCAGCAGUGGGGAAUAUUGGACAAUGGGCGAAAGCCUGAUCCAGCAAUGCCGCGUGAGUGAUGAAGGCCUUAGGGUUGUAAAGCUCUUUUACCAGGGAUGAUAAUGACAGUACCUGGAGAAUAAGCUCCGGCUAACUCCGUG